AAGCAAAGCACGAAUUUUAAAUUUAAGACUUCAUGGAUGAUGUUAAAUCGAGUUUCUGAUGCU
rnacentral:snoRNA from 1 species